AUUUUUUAUUUUACAUGAACAGACUCUAUCAUUUAAGGCCCAAAAUGUAGUCAUAACUAACUAAAAAUAAUUUAACUAACUAAAAAUAAUUUAUUGUUUUGAAAAUUAAACUUAAAAUUAAACUUAACGUUUCCCCUUUUUUAUAUAAAUUUCUUUAUCAAUUUUGUUCCAUUGUGAUGUAGAACAUGUUAGCAUGUUAGCUAGCUAACCACUAACGUUAGAUAGCUCUCCGCUAACCCUAGUUUUCUCCCCGGUAAUGUAACAAACUCGCUACUAACGUUAGUAUGUUAGCUAGCUUGCCGCUAAUGUUAACACUGCUAACCUUAAUUCUUUCCCGUUAACGUUAGUUAGCUCUCCGCUAAUGUUAACUCCGCUAACAUCUCUCCCCAGUAACGUUAGCUAGCUCUCCGUUAACCUUAGAUUGUUCGUUUGUGCCAUCCGGGGUUUCAGGCAGGUGGAGAUCUAACAGCUGUAACAAGGACACAAGCUGUAGAUGCUGGCCAUGUCCUGUGUUCCUGAAACAUGAGGACAGUGGAAAGAUUCUCAGCUACUCUUACUCAUUCCCUCUGGCUGCUAUUUCACUGCAGGGCUGAACGGUUCUGAGCAAAGAGGGUAAGUGAUGGCUUUUUAACAUGGACAUGGUUUAGCACAGAACACUUACUUACUUACCACGGGUUGGUCCUGCUUUUCUCAGUAAGGUUAUUUAACUGUACUUGAGGCCACAGGACCAUUCAAUCGAAAGACUUAAAGACUGAGGGAUCUAAAUAUUGGCUACCCAGGCCAUGAAAAUGCCACAGUUAUCAUGCUAAUGCCACCUUAGUGAUGUGGGACAAACCUGGUCAAUGUUGUACUAACAUGCCUGGAAAACAAGUGCACAGUUAG
rnacentral:lncRNA from 1 species